UUCAAUGAUAGACUGGACAAAGAAAAUGUGAUACAUAUACGCCAUGGUACUACACAGCUAUAAGAAAGAAUGAGGUCAUUUCUUUUGCAGCAACAUGGAUCAAGCUGGAGACCAUUAUUCCUAAGUAAAAUAA